rnacentral:rRNA from 1 species
GAUUAACGCUGGCGGCGUGCAUAACACAUGCAAGUCGAACGAUGAAACUUAACUGAUUUCUUCGGAAUGAUUUUAAGUGGAUUAGUGGCGGACGGGUGAGUAACGCGUGAGUAACCUGCCUUGGAGAAGGGGAUAGCCUUUGGAAACGAAGAAUAAUACCCUAUGAUAUGAUAAUAUCUCAUGAUAUUAUCAUCAAAGAUUUAUCGCUCUAAGAUGGACUUGCGUCUGAUUAGUUAGUUGGUGAGGUAACAGCUCACCAAGGCAGCGAUCAGUAGCUGGCUUGAGAGAGUGUACGGCCACAUUGGGACUGAGACACGGCCCAGACUCCUACGGGAGGCAGCAGUGGGGAAUUUUGCACAAUGGGGGAAACCCUGAUGCAGCGACGCCGCGUGAUUUAGAAGGCCUUCGGGUUGUAAAAAUCUUUUGUAUGGGAAGAAAAUGACAGUACCAUACGAAUAAGGACCGGCUAAUUACGUG